rnacentral:rRNA from 1 species
UACAGAGGGUGCAAGCGUUGUCCGGAUUUACUGGGCGUAAAGCGCGCGCAGGCGGCUGGUCAAGUCCGAUGUGAAAUCUCCCGGCUCAACUGGGAAACUGCAUCGGAAACUGAUCGGCUUGAAGAUGGGAGAGGGUAGUGGAAUUCCCGGUGUAGUGGUGAAAUGCGUAGAUAUCGGGAGGAACACCAGUGGCGAAGGCGGCUGCCUGGCCCAAUACUGACACUCAGGUGCGACAGCGUGGGGAGCAAACAGG